AUGGCUGUCGUCAGCUCGUGUCGUGAGAUGUUGGGUUAAGUCCCGCAACGAGCGCAACCUUCAUCUCUAGUUACCAGCAGUUCGGCUGGGUACUUUAGAGAAACUGCCGGUGAUAAGCCGGAGGAAGGAGAAGAUGACGUCAAGUCCUCAUGGCCCUUAUGGGCUGGGCUACACACGUGCUACAAUGGUAGUUACAAUGAGUCGCAAAGGGGCAACCCUGAGCUAAUCUCAAAACACUAUCUCAGUUCGGAUUGUACUCUGCAACUCGAGUACAUGAAGUUGGAAUCGCUAGUAAUCGCGGAUCAGCAUGCCGCGGUGAAUACGUUCCCGGGCCUUGUACACACCGCCCGUCACACCAUGGGAGUUGGUUUCACUUGAAGACGGCUUACUAACCGCAAGGAAGUAGCCGGCCACGGUGAGAUUAGCGACUGGGGUGAAGUCGUAACAAGGUAGCCGUAGGGGAACCUGCGGCUGGAUCACCUCCUUUCUAAGGAAGGAUCCGGAUAGUCUUUUAUUAUUCGGAUUAAAAAAAAUAUACGACGCUGUCUUCGCAUCCCUUUUAUAUAGAUCUUAUUUUGGGUUUAGGCUUUGAAUGUUUGAAUCUCCGUUUCGGGCCAGUAGCUCAGUUGGUUAGAGCGCGCGCUUGAUAAGCGUGAGGUCGGAAGUUCAAAUCUUCCCUGGCCCACCAAUUAUCGUGGGGGCGUAGCUCAGUUGGGAGAGCGGUAGCUUUGCAAGCUUCAGGUCGUCGGUUCGAUCCCGUCCGCCUCCACCAUUGAGUUUAUUCUUGAUGAACUCUAUUUUUUUGCUAUAAGAAUAAUCACAUUUAACCUACGGAGUUUUUGUAAGAAUAUAAACUUGUAUAUGACUUAGUAGGUAGAUUUACUAUUGUUCUUUCUCAUUGUGAAGAAGUGUUAAAUUCAUGUGAAUUCACCCGGAUUUUGGGUAUUUGCAUGAAAUUUACAAUACCUUGGUGCAUACACAAGCGUUUGUAUGUUCUAGGGUAUUCUGCAUCUUAAUUAAUACACAAUUCUGAAUCACAUGACUUUUGUAUGUGAUAAGAGUUUGAGAUCUGAAUCAAGUGUUUCAAAAGGGCGUUUGGUGGAUGCCUUGGCAUUGAGAGGCGAUGAAGGACGUAGUACGUUGCGAUAAGUCUCGGGGAGCUGCGAACAGGUUUUGAUCCGAGAAUCUCCGAAUGGGGAAACCCGG
rnacentral:sRNA from 1 species